GGAGGGCAUCCUCUUGGGAUUAAAGGAGCGAUCCGGCUGCGGAUGGUCAUGCGGCGCAUUAGCUUGUUGGCGGGGUAACGGCCCACCAAGGCGACGAUGCGUAGGGGUUCUGAGAGGAAGGUCCCCCACACUGGUACUGAGACACGGACCAGACUCCUACGGGAGGCAGCAGUGAGGAAUAUUGGUCAAUGGCCGGGAGGCUGAACCAGCCAAGUCGCGUGAGGGAAGACGGCCCUACGGGUUGUAAACCUCUUUUGCCGGGGAGCAAAUGGCGGGACGCGUCCCGCGUCGAGAGUACCCGGAGAAAAAGCAUCGGCUAACUCCGUGCCAGCAGCCGCGGUAAUGCGGAGGAUGCGAGCGUUAUCCGGAUUUAUUGGGUUUAAAGGGUGCGCAGGCGGGAUGUCAAGUCAGCGGUAAAAUCGGGAGGCUCAACCUCUCUCAGCCGUUGAAACUGGCGUUCUUGAGUGGGCGAGAAGUAUGCGGAAUGCGUGGUGUAGCGGUGAAAUGCAUAGAUAUCACGCAGAACCCCGAUUGCGAAGGCAGCAUACCGGCGCCCGACUGACGCUCAUGCACGAAAGCGUGGGUAUCGAACAGGAUUAGAUACCCUGGUAGUCCACGCAGUAAACGAUGAAUACUCGCUGUGCGGC
rnacentral:rRNA from 1 species